GGGAGCGGGCAGCGAGCCGGAGGUGCGAGGGGAGCCGGGGAGCAGGGUUGGGAAGGCGGCGCCGCGCUGCCCCGGUGCCCCGAGCCGCUUCAGAGGGGCAUCCCCGGGCGCAGCCGCUCCUGGUCCAUCGCUCGCUUCGGCAGGCAGCGCGGAGGGUCCGGAGUCCGGCGAGGAUGCUGCGCGGCUCCCGGCGCGGGCAGGGCACGGCGCACGCUGCGCGGCCGCGGAGCGGGGAGUCGGCUCGAUCCCGGCGAUCCCAGGAGGAGAAGCUGCACGGAUCCACUCGUGGAAGGUCUCAGGGAAGCGGCUCGCUCCUCGCUUAUCUUCCUCUGAUCUCCUCCUGCUAAUUUUCCCCCCCUGCAAAAUCACGACAUUGUGGCACUUUCUACUGAAACUUUUAUACAGGAGUUAAAACCACGUGGGAACUCCAACCUAUAACAGAGACGCCAUGGGUUCCUCACUAUUUAGGAGAUUAAGUUAAGUCUUUUGCCCCCUGGGCUAUUACAGUAACUUCCUGAUGUGGAAA